UCGUCAAAUAGUCGUCACUUGC
rnacentral:siRNA from 1 species